rnacentral:rRNA from 1 species
UGGCGGACGGGUGAGUAAUGUCUGGGAAACUGCCCGAUGGAGGGGGAUAACUACUGGAAACGGUAGCUAAUACCGCAUAACGUCGCAAGACCAAAGAGGGGGACCUUAGGGCCUCUUGCCAUCGGAUGUGCCCAGACGGGAUUAGCUAGUAGGUGGGGUAAUGGCUCACCUAGGCGACGAUCCCUAGCUGGUCUGAGAGGAUGACCAGCCACACUGGAACUGAGACACGGUCCAG